rnacentral:rRNA from 1 species
AGAGGUCCAGCCUGCCCCGUGACUAUUAACGUUUAACGGCCGCGGUAUUUUAACCGUGCAAAGGUAGCGCAAUCACUUGUCUUUUAAAUGAAGACCCGUAUGAAUGGCACCACGAGGGCUUAACUGUCUCCUUUUUCCUGUCAAUGAAAUUGAUCCCCCCGUGCAGAAGCGGGGAUAAAAACAUAAGACGAGAAGACCCUGUGGAACUUAUAGGCUUUAGCAGAUUAUGUCAAGCAACCAGUAUUAGACCUGAACAAACAGAUUAACGCCUGCUCACACAUGCCUUUGGUUGGGGCGACCAUGGGGAAACAAAAACCCCCCACGUGGACUAAGAGCACAGUAAUUAACCCUCUUACAACCCAGGAUUACCCUCCUAAGUAACAGAAUUUCUGACCUAUAUAGGAUCCGGCACCAGACCGAUCAACGAAUCAAGCUACCCCAGGGAUAACAGCGCAAUCCCCUCCUAGAGCCCCUAUCGACGAGGGGGUUUACGACCUCGAUGUUGGAUCAGGACAUCCUAUUGGUGUAGCCGCUAUUAAGGG